AGUGGCGGACGGGUGAGUAACGCGUGAGAAUCUGCCUUGGGGUCGGGGACAACCACUGGAAACGGUGGCUAAUACCGGAUAAGCCGAUUGGUGAAAGAUUUAUUGCCCGAAGAGGAGCUCGCCUCUGAUUAGCUAGUUGGUGAGGUAAGAGCUCACCAAGGCAGCGAUCAGUAGCUGGUCUGAGAGGACGAUCAGCCACACUGGGACUGAGACACGGCCCAGACUCCUACGGGAGGCAGCAGUGGGGAAUUUUCCGCAAUGGGCGAAAGCCUGACGGAGCAAGACCGCGUGAGGGAGGAAGGCUCUUGGGUUGUAAACCUCUUUUCUCAGGGAAAAAGCUCUGACGGUACCUGAGGAAUCAGCCUCGGCUAACUCCGUGCCAGCAGCCGCGGUAAUACGGAGGAGGCAAGCGUUAUCCGGAAUUAUUGGGCGUAAAGCGUCCGCAGGUGGCGAUUCAAGUCUGCUGUCAAAGCACGGGGCUUAACUCCGUAAAGGCAGUGGAAACUGAAUAGCUAGAGUGCCGUAGGGGUAGAGGGAAUUCCCGGUGUAGCGGUGAAAUGCGUAGAGAUCGGGAAGAACAUCGGUGGCGAAAGCGCUCUACUGGACGGCAACUGACACUCAGGGACGAAAGCUAGGGGAGCGAAUGGGAUUAGAUACCCC
rnacentral:rRNA from 1 species